UGGGGAAUAUUGGGCAAUGGGCGCAAGCCUGACCCAGCCACGCCGCGUGAGUGAUGAAGGCCUUCGGGUCGUAAAGCUCUGUGGGGAGGGACGAAAAAACGCUGGCCAAUAUCCAGCGGACUGACGGUACCUCCUUAGCAAGCACCGGCUAACUCUGUGCCAGCAGCCGCGGUAAUACAGAGGGUGCAAACGUUGCUCGGAAUCAUUGGGCGUAAAGCGCACGUAGGCGGCCUAGCAAGUAGGGAGUGAAAGCCCUCGGCUUAACCGAGGAAGUGCUUUCUAAACUACUAGGCUUGAAUACUGGAGAGGGUCGCGGAAUUCCCGGUGUAGAGGUGAAAUUCGUAGAUAUCGGGAGGAACACCAGUGGCGAAGGCGGCGACCUGGACAGAUAUUGACGCUGAGGUGCGAAAGCGUGGGGAGCAAACAG
rnacentral:rRNA from 1 species